UGCAGUCGAGGGGUAGAGUUAGCUUGCUAACUUGAGACCGGCGCACGGGUGCGUAACGCGUAUGCAAUCUACCUUGUACAGAGGGAUAGCCCAGAGAAAUUUGGAUUAAUACCUCAUAGUAUCUUUACCUGGCAUCGGGUAAUUAUUAAAGUUCCAACGGUACAAGAUGAGCAUGCGUCCCAUUAGUUAGUUGGUAAGGUAACGGCUUACCAAGACAAUGAUGGGUAGGGGUCCUGAGAGGGAGAUCCCCCACACUGGUACUGAGACACGGACCAGACUCCUACGGGAGGCAGCAGUGAGGAAUAUUGGUCAAUGGACGCAAGUCUGAACCAGCCAUGCCGCGUGCAGGAAGACGGUCCUAUGGAUUGUAAACUGCUUUUAUACAGGAAGAAACAACUCUACGUGUAGAGUCUUGACGGUACUGUAGGAAUAAGGAUCGGCUAACUCCGUGCCAGCAGCCGCGGUAAUACGGAGGAUCCAAGCGUUAUCCGGAAUCAUUGGGUUUAAAGGGUCCGUAGGCGGCCUUAUAAGUCAGUGGUGAAAUCUCCUAGCUCAACUAGGAAACUGCCAUUGAUACUGUA
rnacentral:rRNA from 1 species